rnacentral:rRNA from 1 species
AUUGAACGCUGGCGGCAGGCCUAACACAUGCAAGUCGAGCGGAUGACGGGAGCUUGCUCCUUGAUUCAGCGGCGGACGGGUGAGUAAUGCCUAGGAAUCUGCCUGGUAGUGGGGGACAACGUUUCGAAAGGAACGCUAAUACCGCAUACGUCCUACGGGAGAAAGCAGGGGACCUUCGUGCCUUGCGCUAUCAGAUGAGCCUAGGUCGGAUUAGCUUGUUGGUGAGGUAAUGGCGCACCAAGGCGACGAUCCGUAACUGGUCUGAGAGGAUGAUCAGUCACACUGGAACUGAGACACGGUCCAGACUCCUACGGGAGGCAGCAGUGGGGAAUAUUGGACAAUGGGCGAAAGCCUGAUCCAGCCAUGCCGCGUGUGUGAAGAAGGUCUUCGGAUUGUAAAGCACUUUAAGUUAGGAGGAAGGGUUGUAGAUUAAUACUCUGCAAUUUUGACGUUACCGACAGAAUAAGCACCGGCUAACUCUGUGCCAGCCGCCGCCGUAAUAC